AAGCGUUUAUGACCAGACCUUCGUCGGGCGGAUCAUCCGGUGUUCUUCACCGGUGCACUUCGCCCGGCUUAGGCCAGCAUCGGUUUUCGUAGGGGGAUAAAGGCCUAGGGAAUGUGGCUCCCUCCGGGGAGUGUUAUAGCCCUGGGCGUAAUACCUUUAUGGGGACCGAGGUUCGCGCUCCGGCAAGGAUGCUGGCGUAAUGGUCAUCAAC
rnacentral:rRNA from 1 species